UGCAUUAAUAUUAAUAUUGUCAAUGUAAGACAACAUGCUAGUUAUACCCCACAUGCCACUGGUAGCAUUUCGGCUAACAUUAGCAUUUUGGCUCAUUUUAGCUUAUACACUAAUUUUAUCAUACUGAAUGGACUAAGCCCGUAUUGCUCAACAUUCUUGUGGCUCUCCA